AGACCCGAAACCCGGUGAUCUAGCCAUGGGCAGGUUGAAGGUUGGGUAACACUAACUGGAGGACCGAACCGACUAAUGUUGAAAAAUUAGCGGAUGACCUGUGGCUGGGGGUGAAAGGCCAAUCAAACCGGGAGAUAGCUGGUUCUCCCCGAAAGCUAUUUAGGUAGCGCCUCGUGAAUUCAUCUCCGGGGGUAGAGCACUGUUUCGGCUAGGGGGCCAUCCCGGCUUACCAACCCGAUGCAAACUGCGAAUACCGGAGAAUGUUAUCACGGGAGACACACGGCGGGUGCUAACGUCCGUCGUGAAGAGGGAAACAACCCAGACCGCCAGCUAAGGUCCCAAAGUCAUGGUUAAGUGGGAAACGAUGUGGGAAGGCCCAGACAGCCAGGAUGUUGGCUUAGAAGCAGCCAUCAUUUAAAGAAAGCGUAAUAGCUCACUGGUCGAGUCGGCCUGCGCGGAAGAUGUAACGGGGCUAAACCAUGCACCGAAGCUGCGGCAGCGACGCUGAUGCGUUGUUGGGUAGGGGAGCGUUCUGUAAGCCUGUGAAGGUGGCCUGUGAGGGUUGCUGGAGGUAUCAGAAGUGCGAAUGCUGACAUAAGUAACGAUAAAGCGGGUGAAAAGCCCGCUCGCCGGAAGACCAAGGGUUCCUGUCCAACGUUAAUCGGGGCAGGGUGAGUCGACCCCUAAGGCGAGGCCGAAAGGCGUAGUCGAUGGGAAACGGGUUAAUAUUCCCGUACUUGGUGUUACUGCGAAGGGGGGACGGAGAAGGCUAUGUUGGCCGGGCGACGGUUGUCCCGGUUUAAGCGUGUAGGCUG
rnacentral:rRNA from 1 species